ensembl:lncRNA
CCUCUGUCCAAGGUUGGAUACGCCAUGCUAGGAGAUACUUCCCUCCAUGUGGGGACAUAGAGGUUGCCUCUGUCCAGGGUUGGAUACGCCAUGCUAGGAGAUACUUCCCUCCAUGUGGGGACAUAGAGGUUGCCUCUGUCCAGGGUUGGAUACGCCAUGCUAGGAGAUACUUCCCUCCAUGUGGGGACAUAGAGGUUGCCUCUGUCCAGGGUUGGAUACGCCAUGCUAGGAGAUACUUCCCUCCAUGUGGGGACAUAGAGGUUGCCUCUGUCCAAGGUUGGAUACGCCAUGCUAGGAGAUACUUCCCUCCAUGUUUGGCAAGAGAAAACUUAUCUUUUGAUGUGGACGAAGUAUUGUGGCCAGACCCAGGCCGGAGAAAAGAUGAAGCGUAGCCCCCCCCC